rnacentral:rRNA from 1 species
UAGCCUAACGGCUGAACACGCAACUUGGAGGAAUGUAUAGCGAAAGCUGGUUGCAUUAACUAAUAGUUAAUGCAGCAUCGACCACUGUCGAAUAAAAUUCUAGAUAGAAUUAUGAUAAUGACAUUAUCUAUCUACAUGUCUUGACCAAGUCACGUGCCAGCAGUCGCGGUAAUACGUGGUAGACUAGUGUUAUUCAUCUUUAUUUGGUUUAAAGGGUACUUAGACGGAAAAUUAAGCCCCAAAAUGGUACUAAUUUUCUAGAGUUUUAUGCGAGAGGGGGUGUAUUGAAGAGUGUAGAGAUGAAAUUUUUUAAUACCUUCUGGAACAGUCAACGGCGAAGGCAACCCUUUAUGUAAAAACUGACGUUGAAGGACGAAGGCUUGGGGCACCAACAGGAUUAGAUACCCUAGCAGUCCUAGCAGAAAAUUAUGAAUGUCAUAGGUUAGAUUAGAAUGUAGGUUAGAGUAUUCAAAUAUUCUAAAUCAAAACAAUUCCUGGUUAUUAUUUUAUAUGGCCAGACAAAAAUUUUUGUCUAUAAAUGAAAGUGUAAGCAUUCCACCUCAAGAGUAAUGUGGCAACGCAGAAACUGAAAUCAUUAGACCGUUUCUGAAACCAGUAGUGAAGUAUGUUGUUUAAAUUGAUGAUCCACAAAAAACCUUACCACAAUUUGUAUAUUAUUUAUAAUACAAGAGUUGCACGGCUGUCUUCAGUUAAUGUCGUGAGAUCUUGGUUAGUUCCAUUAAUUAACGUAAACCCUUACUUUAUUUUUAUUAUAAAGUAGUUCACCGCUAUAUUGGAUUAGAUAACAGGGAAUAAGACAAGUCAUCAUGACCUUAAUAUUGUGGGCUAUAGACGUGCCACACUGUCCUCUACAAAGGGAUGCAAAAUUGNAAAUAAAGCUAAACCCUAAAAUNGAUA